AGGGGCUUGAGUGUGGUAGGGGCAGAGGGAAUUCCCGGUGUAGCGGUGAAAUGCGUAGAUAUCGGGAAGAACACCAGUGGCGAAGGCGCUCUGCUGGGCCAUCACUGACGCUCAUGGACGAAAGCCAGGGGGGCGAAAGGGAUUAGAUACCCCUGUAGUCCUGGCCGUAAACGAUGAACACUAGGUGUCGGGGGAAUCGACCCCCUCGGUGUCGUAGCCAACGCGUUAAGUGUUCCGCCUGGGGAGUACGCACGCAAGUGUGAAACUCAAAGGAAUUGACGGGGGCCCGCACAAGCGGUGGAGUAUGUGGUUUAAUUCGAUGCAACGCGAAGAACCUUACCAGGGUUUGACAUCCUGCGAAUCUCUUGGAAACGAGAGAGUGCCUUCGGGAACGCAGUGACAGGUGGUGCAUGGCUGUCGUCAGCUCGUGUCGUGAGAUGUUGGGUUAAGUCCCGCAACGAGCGCAACCCACGUCUUUAGUUGCCAGCAUUUAGUUGGGCACUCUAGAGAGACCGCCGGUGAUAAACCGGAGGAAGGUGUGGAUGACGUCAAGUCAUCAUGCCCCUUACAUCCUGGGCUACACACGUACUACAAUGCUACGGACAAAGGGCAGCAAGUUCGCGAGGACAAGCAAAUCCCAUAAACCGUGGCUCAGUUCAGAUCGUAGGCUGCAACUCGCCUACGUGAAGGAGGAAUCGCUAGUAAUCGCAGGUCAGCAUACUGCGGUGAAUACGUUCCCGGGCCUUGUACACACCGCCCGUCACACCAUGGAAGUUGGCCACGCCCGAAGCCGUUACUCCAACCCUUGUGGAGGAGGACGUCGAAGGUGGGGCUGAUGACUGGGGUGAAGUCGUAACAAGGUAACCGUA
rnacentral:rRNA from 1 species